rnacentral:lncRNA from 1 species
UUCUCUUUUCAGGGUGCUCCCUAUAUGGACCUCAGAUAUUAGAAAGGCUGCUUGAAGCUUUGUGCUAAAGGCCAUAGAAGCUUCCUGCAACAAAACGAACCUGUGCUUUCAGAGGGCCCAGUAUCACACUGUGCGACUGUACUGCACUAGGAGCUAAGGACCAUCACAUUCUACUGCAAGUAUGAGGUCCUGGUCCUGCUCUUUUCUCCAGUCUGGAGCAACGUUUGGAGGAGCCCAGCAGCCUGGUCCUUUCCAUAGCUUCCAAGGAUUUCUAGGAUCACAGGAUUUACAGACCCUCAAAAACCUCUGGAGGACAUGAGCUGUGGAUAAAAGCCUCUGGAAGCGCCUGCCACCUCUCUUACCUCUUGUUUCUUGCUGGGUGACUGCAUGCCAUUUGGGAAGGGAGCCUCUCCGCUCUCAGAGGAUUACGUCUAACCAGGCACUUGCCAUCCCCACUGGAAUACUUCUGCUACAUUUUCCCAGGAUGGAGAAAUUACUACACUCAGCAGAAGGAUAUUUUUCCCCUCUCCCAGAACUUUUCAAGUUCAGCGGUGCUCUUGUCCGGCAGGUGACACCUGCUCGUAUUGUUGAGUCCCAGGAAUCCUCCGUAACCUUAGUCUUUAUAAGUCUAGAAAUGAGUGAACCUCAAACCGUGCAGAGGUCUCAGUUGACUGCAGAAAGGUGAGAGGAGGAGCCUGUGGAAGGGAGCUCAGAUCCCACCAGGGUUUCCCGGAAAUGAGGUGAGUGGCAACAGCUUUCAGACCUAGUAAGCCCGGAGAUGCAAGCGCUCCUGGGCUUUCCUACACUCUGUGGGUUAGGUUAUUGAACCUUCAAACUUCCUUUUAUGUUGCGGGUUUCUGUGCCUUUUGCCUUUUCAGGGGCAGGCCUGAUGGAGG